ACAUCAUAAUUUAAAGAGGAAAUUGUAAAUAUGGAACAAAAAAACUAAUAGAUUGUCUUGAUGCCAUAAAUAUGAACUAUAAGUUUUUCACUUAGGGCAUCAUUGGUUUCUCUGCUAUCACCCGCAAACGCAGCUGUAACAAUCAUUCAAACCGCUCUAAACCACAUCAAAUUGCUCUAAACCUCUUAAAUUCAAAAGCUGGUUCCAGCUAAUGGUUACGGUUGCGGGCGAUUGUGGGAGGGUAUUUUUUUUUUAAACAAUAUAAAUAAAAAAAUAAAAAUAAAAAUAAAAUAAAAAUUUUAAAUUGGAAUUAUAAAAAUACUAAAAUAUAUCUAUUAUAUUUUAAUUAAGGGGCGACUGGUUUUUCCGCUACCACCCGCAAACGCAACUUUUGCGGUUGGUAGCGGUUGUCUGCGGUUUGCAACAAUCACUCAAAUCGCUCUAAACCGCUUCAAACCAAUCCGAAUCUCAUAAAUUCAAAAGCUGGCUCCAGCUAGGGUUUGCGGUUGCGGGAGCAUAAAUUUUUUUUCUUUUUUUUAAAACAACAUAUAUACAAAAGUAAAAAUAUUUAAUAAAGAAUUUAAAAUUGAAAUUAUGAAAAUCUUAAAAUAUAUCUAUUAUAUUUUAAUUAAUAUUAUAAAAUUUAUAAUAAAACAAAUUUCAAUAAAUUUUCAAAAAUUAAAAUUAUAACUUUCUAAAUAUAAAUUUUAUAUUUAUUAUAACUUUAUGAUUUUUGAUAUUUUUAUAAUUAUAUUAAAUGUAAAUAUUGUUAAUUUAUUAUUUGACUGUUACCGUAUUUAGUAGUUAACCAGUCAUAAGUCACUCGCAAACACACCAAUUUUUAACCGCAGCACCAGUCGUACAAAUUUCUUGAAACUGCUAGAAACCGCAACCGCCCGCAUCCACAAACUCCCGCAACUGCAACCGCAACCGCUGCGUUUGAACCAGUCAGGCCCUUAAUAUUAUAAAACUUUAAAAUAAAAAUAUUUUCUAAUUUUAAAAAUUAAAAAACUAUAACUUUCUAAAUAUAAUUUUUAUAUUUAUAAUAAUAUCAUGAUUUUUGAUAUUAUUAUAAUUAUAGAAAAUGUAAAUAUUGUUAAUUUAUUAUUUAACCGCUGCUGCAUUUAGUAGUUAACCAGUCAUAAGUAUCCCGCAAAACGCACCAAUUUAUAACUGCAGUACCAGUCAUACAAAUCUCUUAAAACCGCUAGAAACCACAACCACCCGCACCCGCAAACUCCCACAACCGCUGCGUUUGAACCAGUUACACCCUUAGUAUAAUGUUUUUUUAAAACCCAAUUAAACCCUUAAUCUAAUCUUAAUAUGUACGUUUUUCUAUAAAUUUAAUUGUUUAAAAAAAUUUAAAAUUUAAAAAACAAAAAAAAAAGAAAAUAAACAAAAGCGGAUGUGGUUAAAAAAAAGGGGUUAAUUGAUUAUUUCCCAAAUCGGGGAGACUAAGAACCCUAAUUUCGGUUCUUUUUUUGGUGAUAGAGAACAAGUCGAUUUCAAGUCAUUGGGUUCUCAGAGCUCGCCGUCGGCGGUGUUCCUUGUGCCGCUAAGACUCUGCCGGUGUUCUUCUUCUUCUUAAUCCAAGUCUCGC
rnacentral:lncRNA from 1 species